rnacentral:lncRNA from 1 species
AUGUUGACGGCACCUGGAGCGCAUCCCGAACCCUCGCGGAGCCGGGAUGCCGCCUGCUCGCCCACCGCGAGCUGGGGGAAGCACUGCCCCUACGUUGGGGUCCCCGGCAGCUUUGGGGCAGGGCUCUCCCCCGUGCGGUCGGGUUCCCGGUGUGUUCCUGCGAGGGGCAGAGUUAAGGUGACGACGGGCACCCUGAGCCACACGCCUGGGGAAAUCCACCCCGGCGCUGCAGCCAGCGCCACUUUGUGCAUCCAAGCCCUGCCCUUUGCUGCAGCCGAGCGGGCAGGAGCGGUGCCCACGGUGCCAGAGGGGCCGGGCAGGGCGGCCCCAAGCUCUGCCACCACCUCCGAGCCAUCCCCAGCCAGGACACCUGCGAGAAACCUGCCCUUCCGCACCGAACGCCACGGCGAGCCUCCCACCCUGCGGGGAGCUUCCCCUGCCUCCCCGACUCCUCCUUUCAUCUUGGGUUUUGCAAGAGCAAGGCUCGGGCUGGCUCCAAACGCAGCGCUUGGGGAGGAAAGGGCUGCGCCGGGAGGCGGUGCCACCUCUUGGCACCUUCAACUUUGCCUCGAGUCCACCAGCCCCGGCCAGCGCUGGGGUGGGGUCACGGCUCCUCUCUGCCCCCCCUGCACGCCCACCCCAUCCCCGGAGCCCCCGCAGGGCCGGCGGCUGCCUCGCCUGCCACUUACAUCGUCAUCCUGCACGCUCAGGGGGAUAUCCAACAUGCACAUCUGCACGGGCUGCACCAGAGCCUUCUGCACGUUGAACAAAGGUUUCGCCUCCAUCUUCCCGGGCGCGGAGGGGCUGCUCAUUCUCCUCUCUCUGCCGCCGCUCCUCUCGCGGGAGGGGCUCCAGCCCAGGCAGGGAAGCGGACCGGAGAUCUCUCCCCGCUCGGUUUUCUCAGCGCAUCUUGCCAACAGCUGCUGCCGCCGCUCCGAGCGCCCUUAUUUCCUCCCUCGCGAAUCAAAGGGCUGCGAGGAGCCGCACCGAGAGGCCGGGUGUGCGCGUGUGUGA